UACGUAGGGUGCAAGCGUUAAUCGGAAUUACUGGGCGUAAAGCGUGCGCAGGCGGUUAUGUAAGACAGUUGUGAAAUCCCCGGGCUCAACCUGGGAAUUGCAUCUGUGACUGCAUAGCUAGAGUACGGUAGAGGGGGAUGGAAUUCCGCGUGUAGCAGUGAAAUGCGUAGAUAUGCGGAGGAACACCGAUGGCGAAGGCAAUCCCCUGGACCUGUACUGACGCUCAUGCACGAAAGCGUGGGGAGCAAACGG
rnacentral:rRNA from 1 species